ACUCCUACGGGAGGCAGCAGUGGGGAAUAUUGCACAAUGGGCGAAAGCCUGAUGCAGCGACGCCGCGUGAGGGAUGACGGCCUUCGGGUUGUAAACCUCUUUCAGCAGGGAAGAAGCGAAAGUGACGGUACCUGCAGAAGAAGCGCCGGCUAACUACGUGCCAGCAGCCGCGGUAAUACGUAGGGCGCAAGCGUUGUCCGGAAUUAUUGGGCGUAAAGAGCUCGUAGGCGGCUUGUCACGUCGGUUGWGAAAGCCCGGGGCUUAACCCCGGGUCUGCASUCSAUACGGGCAGGCUASAUUGUGGURGGGGAAAUCGGANUUCCAGGC
rnacentral:rRNA from 1 species